CCUACGGGUGGCAGCAGUGAGGAAUAUUGGUCAAUGGGCGGAAGCCUGAACCAGCCAAGCCGCGUGAAGGAUGAAUGCCCUGCGCGUUGUAAACUUCUUUUGUCAGGGGACAAAGUGCGGCACGCGUGCCUUCCUGAGUGUACUUUAUGAAUAAGCAUCGGCUAACUCCGUGCCAGCAGCCGCGGUAAUACGGAGGAUUCGAGCGUUAUCCGGAUUUAUUGGGUUUAAAGGGUGCGUAGGGGGGCGGUUAAGCCAGCGGUGAAAGCCGGGGGCUCAACCUCGAAGUGCCGUUGGAACUGGGGGGCGUGAGUACGGUGGAGGCAGGCGGAAUGCGUGGUGUAGCGGUGAAAUGCUUAGAUAUCGCGAAGAACUCCGAUUGCGAAGGCAGCGUGCCGAGCUGCCACUGACGCUGAGGCACGAAAGCGUGGGGAUCGAACAGGAUUAGAUACCCGAGUAGUC
rnacentral:rRNA from 1 species